GAUCGCUUCAGCGGUACAUACACUAAAAUUGGAACAAUACAGAGAAGAUUAGCAGGGCCCUUGCGCAAGGGCAACAUUACUGAAAGGUCAAGACAUAAGU
rnacentral:snRNA from 1 species